CUAGAAACUUCUGCACCAGGCGCGCAAGAUGGCUGCGUUUGGAUGUCCUGUUCGUCUUACCCUCUUGAUUCUCAUUUUCUACCUUUUUGUUCUCAGUUCCUCGAGCUCGCCAUGCAUCUGUUCGUGUGACAGCUGGGGAUCAUGGAGUUCCUGCUCUGAUCCAUGCGGAAAUGCAGGCACUAGGAGCCGUAACCGUACUGGUUCAUGCUGUAACUGCACGGAUACACAAACGCAGCCAUGCAACCGGUUCUGCUACAACAGCGGUACU